AGGACUUUAAGUUAUUUUAAACUAGAAGCCUUCAAAGCUUCAAAAAAAAGUGUAUCUUUUAAGUCCUA
rnacentral:tRNA from 1 species